rnacentral:rRNA from 1 species
CCGAACACAGAAGUUAAGCUCUCUAGCGCUGAUGGUACUUGGUGGGAAACUGCCUGGGAGAGUAGGACGUAGCCACGU